rnacentral:rRNA from 1 species
UCUACGGGCCGCAGCAGUGGGGAAUAUUGGACAAUGGGCGAAAGCCUGAUCCAGCAAUGCCGCGUGAGUGAUGAAGGCCUUAGGGUUGUAAAGCUCUUUUACCAGGGAUGAUAAUGACAGUACCUGGAGAAUAAGCUCCGGCUAACUCCGUGCCAGCAGCCGCGGUAAUA